GUGAGGAAUAUUGGUCAAUGGGCGCAAGCCUGAACCAGCCAUCCCGCGUGCAGGAAGACGGCGCUAUGCGUUGUAAACUGCUUUUCCAGGGAGAGAAACUUGCGCACGUGUUGCGCAAUUGACGGUACCCUGGGAAUAAGCAUCGGCUAACUCCGUGCCAGCAGCCGCGGUAAUACGGAGGAUGCGAGCGUUAUCCGGAUUCAUUGGGUUUAAAGGGUGCGUAGGCGGACUAUUAAGUCAGUGGUGAAAUCCUGCAGCUUAACUGCAGAACUGCCAUUGAUACUGAUAGCCUUGAGUUUGGUUAAGGUAGGCGGAAUGUGUAAUGUAGCGGUGAAAUGCUUAGAUAUUACACAGAACACCAAUUGCGUAGGCAGCUUACUGAGCCGACACUGACGCUGAGGCACGAAAGCGUGGGGAGCAAACAGGAUUAGAUACCCCAGUAGUCC
rnacentral:rRNA from 1 species